rnacentral:rRNA from 1 species
CAGCCGCCGCGGUAAUACNUAGGGAGCAAGCGUUGUCCGGAUUUAUUGGGCGUAAAGAGCGUGUAGGCGGUCAAGUAGGUGGGUUGUGAAAACUGGAGGCUCAACCUUCAGACGUCGACCCAAACCCCCUGGCUAGAGUCCGGAAGAGGAGAGUGGAAUUCCUGGUGUAGCGGUGAAAUGCGCAGAUAUCAGGAAGGACACCCGUGGCGAAGGCGGCUCUCUGGGACGGUACUGACGCUGAGACGCGAAAGCGUGGGGAGCGAACAGGAUUAGAUACCCUGGUAGUCCACGCCGUAAACGAUGGGUGCUAGGUGUGGGGGGUGUCGACUCCCCCCGUGCCGAAGCUAACGCAUUAAGCACCCCGCCUGGGGAGUACGGCCGCNAGGCUAAAACGCAAAGGAAUUGACGG